GUCCCAGUGGUGUGGUUGUAGCACGCGCCUCCGCUAUGGGCGAAACGUGGGUUCGACUCCUGCCUGGUGCU